CCUGAAUUACACAAGACAUUAUUCCAUACCAAGUGACAUCACAGUGGAAGUCAUAAAGCUGGUGGCAGUUAGUUGGGGGCUGGCUGUUGCUUGAGCAUUGAUCUGCAGGUAAUCUGAGCAGCAACAUCAUGUUUGUUCCCUUUCACUGGACAAAGACCAAGAGGAGGAAGAAAAACGUAAGGAGCGAGUCCCACUGCCUCACUGCAGCCGGAACAGCCUUCAAACACCAAUGCCUGCCUUUCUACCACACAUUUUGCCUUGGGGCCUAUGGGGAUCCAGCUGUGUUUAGAAAAGAAGGGCUUUCUCACAUCUUAUCAAACUCCCUCAGCACCUCUCUUCAUUUACAGUUGGCAAACACGGCCCCUAACGCAGAACAAGACCUGCCCUGUGAUCCAGCAGGCUUCUGUUACUCAGCUGCCUGCCCGCCAGCGAUGUGUUGGCAUGAUCUGUGCAGCACUUUCCAUAUGCAACUGUUGCCCUGGUUUAAAACUAAGCAUCUCCUGAACAAUCUUCCCCCGUAGCCCUCCCUUCAAGGUUUUGCUGUUCACAUUUCACUUUCUAAACACCUCUCAAGGCCUCAACCCCAGGUCAACUUCAGAAACUAAUUAGAAACAUCAAGGCCUCCCAACCCUCCCACAAGUGAAUUUCAGCCAUCCUCUGUUUACUUUAAUAAAUUUUUUUCUUGCUAGAUUAAUGGAA